rnacentral:misc_RNA from 1 species
UUUCCGUAGGUGAACCUGCGGAAGGAUCAUUAAUGAAUGCAAGGAUGCUCUUUUUAGAGGUCCGACCCAUUUUUUAUAUUACACCGUGAACCAACUGUUUUUUACACCAUUUUUAAACACUUUAAGUUUAUUGAAUGUCAUAAAAGUCUCUUAAUUGAGCAUUAAAAGUUUUAAAACUUUCGGCAACGGAUCUCUUGGCUCCCGCAUCGAUGAAGAACGCAGC